AGCAGCCGCGGUAAUUCCAGCUCCAAUAGCGUAUAUUAAAGUUGCUGCAGUUAAAAAGCUCGUAGUUGAAUUUCGGGACCAUCAUGUUGGUCGUGCCUCGGUACGUACUGGCAUUGUUGGUUUCUCCCUUCUGACGAACCAUGAUGUCAUUUAUUUGGUGUCGUGGGAAAUCAGGACUGUUACUUUGAAAAAUUAGAGUGUUUAAAGCAGGCUCACGCUUGAAUACAUUAGCAUGGAAUAAUGAAAUAGGACGUUUGAUUCUAUUUUUGUUGGUUUCUAGGAUCGACGUAAUGAUUAAUAGGGAUAGUUGGGGCAUUAGUAUUCAAUUUGUCAGAGGGCGAAAUUCUUGGGAUUUAUUGAAGACUAACUACUGCGAAAGCAUUUGCCAAGGAUGUUUCCAUUAAUCAAGACGAAAGUUUAGGGGAUCGAAGACGAUCAGAUACCGUCGUAGUCUUAAACCCAUAAAACCUAUGCCGACUA
rnacentral:rRNA from 1 species